rnacentral:rRNA from 1 species
AUUGAACGCUGGCGGCAGGCCUAACACCUGCAAGUCGAGCGGAUGAAGGGAGCUUGCUCCUGGAUUCAGCGGCGGACGGGUGAGUAAUGCCUAGGAAUCUGCCUGGUAGUGGGGGAUAACGUCCGGAAACGGGCGCUAAUACCGCAUACGUCCUGAGAGAGAAAGUGGGGGAUCUUCGGACCUCACGCUAUCAGAUGAGCCUAGGUCGGAUUAGCUAGUUGGUGGGGUAAAGGCCUACCAAGGCGACGAUCCGUAACUGGUCUGAGAGGAUGAUCAGUCACACUGGAACUGAGACACGGUCCAGACUCCUACGGGAGGCAGCAGUGGGGAAUAUUGGACAAUGGGCGAAAGCCUGAUCCAGCCAUGCCGCGUGUGUGAAGAAGGUCUUCGGAUUGUAAAGCACUUUAAGUUGGGAGGAAGGGCAGUAAGUUAAUACCUUGCUGUUUUGACGUUACCAACAGAAUAAGCACCGGCUAACUUCGUG